rnacentral:rRNA from 1 species
AUUGAACGCUGGCGGCAGGCUUAACACAUGCAAGUCGAACGAGUGGCGGACGGGUGAGUAAUGUCUGGGAAAAUGCCCGAUGGAGGGGGAUAACUACUGGAAACGGUAGCUAAUACAGCAUACCAUCGGAUGUGCCCAGAUGGGAUUAGUUAUUAGGUGGGGGAACGGCUCUCAUAGGCGACGAUCCCUAGCUGGUCUGAGAGGAUGACCAGCCACACUGAAACUGAGACACGGUCCAGACUCCUACGGAAGGCGUCAUUGGGAAAUAUUGCACAAGGAGCGCAAGCCUGAUGCAGCCGUGCCGCGUGUAUGAAGAAGGCCUUCGGGUUGUAAAGUACUUUCAGCGAGGAUGCGUUACUCACAGAAGAAGCACCGGCUAACUCCGUGCCAGCAGCCGCGGUAAUAC